CGGCUCCUCACGGCUUCUCUCGCUUCCCCCCGCCGCGGAUUCGCUCCUUCGUGGCCGGGCAGGCCUCGAGUGCUGGCGGGGAGGAGCGCCCCGAGAGGUGAGGGGAGGGAAGCUCCCGUGAAGGGCUUAAUUUUCAUCCCAAACCAGCCGCUGCCUGCCUGCCUGUCUGUCUGCCCGCCCGCCCCUCAGGAGAUGCUUUUCCUGUCAGUUGGGGUGAGCUUUGUGCCGCUGCAGGGUGUGUGAGUCCAAACAGAGAAAAAAAAGUAUAAACCCUAAUCCCAAAGGUUUUUCGCAACGUCCUGCGUGAGAAGGGGGGAACUGUGGCAUCAUGUAACCUCCAGAGCAGUAAAGAACUUAGCGUGAUGAUGUCUGAGACCCUUAGAGAGCUCAAAGCAUCACUGUAAUGUGCAGAAGACAGUCACCUCUGAAGGGAUUCCGGUUUUCCUCUGAUGCUUCCAAACAGAUCCUUCAAGUGAUAGAAAAGG